AACGAGCGAGAGAGAGCUUGCUUUCUCGAGCGAGUGGCGAACGGGUGAGUAACGCGUGAGGAACCUGCCUCAAAGAGGGGGACAACAGUUGGAAACGACUGCUAAUACCGCAUAAGCCCACGGGUCGGCAUCGACCAGAGGGAAAAGGAGCAAUCCGCUUUGAGAUGGCCUCGCGUCCGAUUAGCUAGUUGGUGAGGUAACGGCCCACCAAGGCAACGAUCGGUAGCCGGACUGAGAGGUUGAACGGCCACAUUGGGACUGAGACACGGCCCAGACUCCUACGGGAGGCAGCAGUGGGGAAUAUUGCACAAUGGGGGAAACCCUGAUGCAGCGACGCCGCGUGGAGGAAGAAGGUCUUCGGAUUGUAAACUCCUGUUGUUGAGGAAGAUAAUGACGGUACUCAACAAGGAAGUGACGGCUAACUACGUGCCGGCAGCCGCGGUAAAACGUAGGUCACAAGCGUUGUCCGGAAUUACUGGGUGUAAAGGGAGCGCAGGCGGGAAGACAAGUUGGAAGUGAAAUCCAUGGGCUCAACCCAUGAACUGCUUUCAAAACUGUUUUUCUUGGGUAGUGCAGAGGUAGGCGGAAUUCCCGGUGUAGCGGUGGAAUGCGUAGAUAUCGGGAGGAACACCAGUGGCGAAGGCGGCCUACUGGGCACCAACUGACGCUGAGGCUCGAAAGUGUGGGUAGCAAACAGGAUUAGAUACCCUGGUAGUCCACACCGUAAACGAUGAUUACUAGGUGUUGGAGGAUUGACCCCUUCAGUGCCGCAGUUAACACAAUAAGUAAUCCACCUGGGGAGUACGACCGCAAGGUUGA
rnacentral:rRNA from 1 species